UACGAAGGGGGCUAGCGUUGCUCGGAAUCACUGGGCGUAAAGGGUGCGUAGGCGGGUCUUUAAGUCAGGGGGGAAAUCCUGGAGCUCAACUCCAGAACUGCCUUUGAUACUGAGGAUCUUGAGUUCGGGAGAGGUGAGUGGAACUGCGAGUGUAGAGGUGAAAUUCGUAGAGAUUGGGAAGAACACCAGUGGCGAAGGCGGCUAUCUGGACGGUUUCUGACGCUAAGACGCGAAAGCGUGGGGAGCAAACAGG
rnacentral:rRNA from 1 species